rnacentral:rRNA from 1 species
GCCUAACACAUGCAAGUCGAACGAGAUCUUCGGAUCUAGUGGCGCACGGGUGCGUAACGCGUGGGAAUCUGCCCUUGGGUUCGGAAUAACAGUUAGAAAUGACUGCUAAUACCGGAUGAAGUCUACGGACCAAAGAUUUAUCGCCCAGGGAUGAGCCCGCGUAGGAUUAGCUAGUUGGUGGGGUAAAGGCCUACCAAGGCGACGAUCCUUAGCUGGUCUGAGAGGAUGAUCAGCCACACUGGGACUGAGACACGGCCCAGACUCCUACGGGAGGCAGCAGCUGGGGAAUAUUGGACAAUGGGGGCAACCCUGAUCCAGCAAUGCCGCGUGAGUGAUGAAGGCCUUCGGGU